rnacentral:ncRNA from 1 species
GCAGAGUAGGAUGCCGUGCGUGGCGGGAUUAAUCCCGCGCAGUGCUGCUCGGACGGGGAGUUGCCGGGCAGACGAAUAGCGAUACUUCGCUUGCGGUACGGCCUCCGCAUCCCGCUGC